rnacentral:rRNA from 1 species
AACGAACGCUGGCGGCAUGCCUAACACAUGCAAGUCGAACGAGAACUUCGGGUCUAGUGGCGCACGGGUGCGUAACGCGUGGGAACCUGCCCUUAGGUUCGGAAUAACUCCCCGAAAGGGGUGCUAAUACCGGUUAAUGUCUUCGGACCAAAGAUUUAUCGCCUUUGGAUGGGCCCGCGUUGGAUUCGCUAGUUGGUAGGGUAAAAGCCUACCAAGGCGACGAUGCAUAGCUGGUCUGUGAGGAUGAUCAGCCACACUGGGACUGAGACACGGACCAGACUCCUACGCGAGGCAGCAGUGGGGAAUAUUGGACGAGGGGCGAAAGCCUGAUCCAGCAACGCCGCGUGAGUGAUGAAGGCCUUAGGGUUGUAAAGCUCUUUUACCCGGGAUGAUAAUGACAGUACCGGGUGAAUAAGCACCGGCUAACUCCGUG